GCAGAGUUGAUUUAACUCUGGGGAUUUUACUGUGUAUGAAUUUUUGAUUUUCACAACCUUUACCAAGUCACACCCCAACGAAAUUGAGAAUUUUGGAACUGGAGGUCUGGUGGAAUCUCGAGAGAGCUUUUUGACCAACUGAAACAUAACUUGCCCUGACUUCUGACCUGCAUAUCUGAUGCUCUUCUGCUUAACUACGCAGAGACUCUCCCUCAUACAGUGAGUGCUAUUUGUCUAAGCAAAAAAAGAAAAAAAGAAACUGAGCUGAUGGAAAUCAGACCUCAUCAUAUUCAUCUCGCUUCACUUGGACCACCCCAUGACCCUUUUCUCCACUCGGUUUCAAAAGCUCUUCUGCAUCAAGGGAUUAUCAAGUAAAAGAUGUCAUUAAAGAAGAAAGGAAAGAGCACAUUACCCCUUCCCCCACCAAUAAAUGGACAGAGAGGUGCAUAAGUGUCCUAAAUAUAUUCAGGGAUUUUUAUCCCACUCCUCACAAACCGAAGCUCUCAUUAAAAACGGCACGAAGACCUUUAAGGUUUUAAGGUGCAAUGGCUUCAAACAGGCUUUGGACAAUUCUUUCAGGUUUUGUCCAUCUCCCCAGUGACUCUUGAAGCCUCUACUUUUUAUAUUUUUGAAGAAAAUGAAAAAAUAACAAAGUUUCUCUGGUUUAAUAGAAGAAUUGUGACUGUAUCUAAUAAAGGUGAUUUAAUAAAGUGAUUCAGUAAUGCGUUACCAAUCCAUGAUUCCCCACUGAUUUGUCUCAUAACAGUCACUCUAUAAGUGAAAUAACAUUAAGUAGCUUUAUAUGAUCAGAUUUUAUUUUUGUCAUCAUCUUAUAGGCUACUUAUUUUUUUCUUAAUGCAGUUUAGCAAUACUACUUUUUCAUUUUAAAAGAGUAUAAAAAGCUCAAAUAAAUCAAGAAACAAUUUUUUUCAAGCAGGGGAUCAAAUUAGUUGGUCUCGCCUGCAAAGAUUAUAUAAAUCAAUAAUGCAGCAGUGUAAUUCUACCCAUUCAUUUACAGUUUAAACCAGAUUGUAGUGAAAUCUGAAAGAAAUUAUGAUUCAGCAGACACACAUACACAAUACUGUCCGCUAAAAUGAACAUUCCCAUGUUUUGCUGUGCUCAGUGGGUGAUUUAUUCACACACAGUGUGAGUCAGGCCUCAAAUGUUUUUCAGCCCAUUUACUGUCAGCCAAAAGCUUGUUACACUUCAAAGGGGGUUGAGGCUCAGAUUUUCAUUGUUUUGGAUGUAUCUUUGGUUAUACAGUUUUAGUGCAAUAUCUCAUUUUGUAUUGUCGCAUUAAAGCCUGUUGAUGGAAACCUGUGGUGCUCAACGUUUUCUUUUUUUAUGGAGCUUGCUAGAGCUUCCACAGCUCUUCCUCGCUAAUGUAAUUAACUUUAGC